UGCAAGUAUCAGACGAAUAAGCAUCGGCUAACUCCGUGCCAGCAGCCGCGGUAAUACGGAGGAUGCGAGCGUUAUCCGGAUUUAUUGGGUUUAAAGGGUGCGUAGGCGGUUUGUUAAGUCAGUGGUGAAAGCGUGUAGCUCAACUAUACCAAGCCAUUGAUACUGGCGAACUUGAGUGUAAACGAGGUAGGCGGAAUAUGACGUGUAGCGGUGAAAUGCUUAGAUAUGUCAUAGAACCCCGAUUGCGAAGGCAGCUUACCAGCAUACAACUGACGCUGAGGCACGAAAGCGUGGGUAUCAAACAGGAUUAGAUACCCUG
rnacentral:rRNA from 1 species